rnacentral:rRNA from 1 species
UACGGAGGGGGCUAGCGUUGUUCGGAAUUACUGGGCGUAAAGCGCACGUAGGCGGCUUUGUAAGUUAGAGGUGAAAGCCCAGGGCCUAACCCUGGAAUUGCCUUUAAGACUGCAUCGCUAGAAUCGUGGAGAGGUGAGUGGAAUUCCGAGUGUAGAGGUGAAAUUCGUAGAUAUUCGGAAGAACACCAGUGGCGAAGGCGACUCACUGGACACGUAUUGACGCUGAGGUGCGAAAGCGUGGGGAGCAAACAGG